ensembl:lncRNA
AUCUAAGUUAACUUAAACUUUUGCACAUCUGGUUUAAUUAAGUUCACUAUACCUUUAAUGUGGAAAACAGACAGGGGCAAUUUAGUACCUUGCUCAAGGACACCUUGGCGUGCAGACUGGAGGAGCUGCCAACCUUCCCACAGGGAGAGAAAAGAAAGAGCUAACUUCACUCAGAGAUGGAGAAAGACACGAAAGACAGGACACUACAGGAAGAAGAGAAGUUAUAUUUAAAGGAAAUCUUUUUCAUCAAUGGAAAAAGUUGGAAAAAAAAAUGUCUGAGGAGGGCUUAAGGGUUAAAUGACCUUUCUUCCCCUACUGAUGAUCAGCUUAAAGUUCAGUGGCUUAAAUGAGACGAUGGAGACCUCCCAGGAUGGGAAAGAAAGAAGCUUCAAAUUCAGGUCCUGCAUUGACGCCGAUCACACCAGGACAUUUGAUCUGAAGUCGCAGCCACAACCUCUGACUUCCUCACAGCGCUUCUUUUUCACACACGAAGGGAAAUGUCAAAUGUUUGCAUUUUCAGAGGGAGCUGGGUGUUAUUUUUCUUGGCAGGCUUGAGCUCAGCAGCUGGAGACUUGCAGUCAGGUCAGAGAGGCUGACAAGGUUGCUACACCACCCCCUGAGCUUUUUUUUUUCCUUCUUCUCCUUCUUAAAUGGGGUGGCAAAGGAGAAAAUGGGAGCCUAUCAGGAGAAUCUUUGGUUUUGUAAAUUCACAAGUAUCAAUUAUAAAUUGAGAGGUGGGUCCACAACUGUAAGAAUAUGGCUAAUACACCGAAGCACACAAUUCAGUGUCAUCUCUGCUUACCUUUAUUCUAAACACAGCUCAUGCUUCUGCUUUCAGCUACAUUAGUGAUCAGUGGGGGUUAGUUUAGUUGAUUGCUUUUUAUUUUUACCAGAAAAGGCCCAUUGAGAUCAGUCUUUUUUUUUUUUUUCAUAAAAACAAAAGACCCAGCAAAAGUUGCAAUCUGUCUUCUCUUUUGUUUAGAACAUUCUUUAACUCAGUAAAAUUUUUCCAAAUUUUAUAAACUCUGUUUAACGAAUUCAGAGGUCCAGAUGCCCUUACAUUCAUUAAACAGUGCAACCAUGGGUACUAAAUUAUGGGUAUGGACAAGUGCCAUGCAUGUUUUGUUUCUGUACAUGUUAAAAUAAAUGGCCUGCUUACAUUUUUUUUAAUUUAAAAUGGUAUAAGCUGAAAGUAUUCCUUCUCUUUGUAAUUUCACUGUCUGAAAUAAAAUGUGCGUUGACUCAUACUCUCCUGGAAGAAAUAAACGUGGUGUCCGAUUAGUAUUAAUGUGAUUAUAGGACUGAUUCUGCCAACAGUUAAACACUUUUCUGUUGUUAACCUGUCUUGGGGUGCACUACAAAAGUAAAAGCAACAUGCUGUAUUCUGUAUGUAUUUCAGACUGUAUAGUUGGUCAAGCAGUUGAUAAUCUAACCAUUCGAGGCCCUCUGUACAAACACACUCGUAAGUACAGUGUUUGGACAACCCAUCUGUCUCUUCUUCAUUGGUGGAGUCCUUUCCAAGUAAACUCUUUGACUCAGUUGCUAGGAAACUUCUACUCUGUCUCUGCCCUCCUGACUGCGAGCAGCCGGCUCGCUCCUCCUCGUGAUGUAAGGACGCUGUAACAGAAACACAUGUCAUACUAAGUAAAAGCUGAGCUGUUACUCACUGCAUUGAGAUGGGUUUCAUGCUUAUAUUGGUCAUUUUGCUGUUGUCUGUGUAACAUGAGAGUGAGUACCUUCUUAUCACUCUCACCAUGCACUUGUCGCUCCGCUGUAGUCAGACACACAGGCUGUAAUUUAAGGUGGUCUAAACACAGAGUCUAUU